CUGGCCUACGGGGGGCAGCAGUGAGGAAUAUUGGUCAAUGGGAGAGAUCCUGAACCAGCCAAGCCGCGUGAGGGAAGACGGCCCUAUGGGUUGUAAACCUCUUUUGUCGGAGAACAAAACCCGGGACGAGUCCCGGACUGCGUGUAUCCGAAGAAAAAGCAUCGGCUAACUCCGUGCCAGCAGCCGCGGUAAUACGGAGGAUGCGAGCGUUAUCCGGAUUUAUUGGGUUUAAAGGGUGCGUAGGCGGAAUGUCAAGUCAGUGGUAAAAUCGUGGGGCUCAACCUAGCUCGGCCGUUG
rnacentral:rRNA from 1 species